AUGCCUUGUAUUUCUUUGUGUUGUCUGAUUGCCGUGGCUAGGACCUCCAGUACUAUGUUGAAUAAAAGUGGGGAGAGUGGGCAUCCUUGUCUUAUUCCCAAUCUUAGAGGAAAAGCUUUCAGCUUUUCACUGUUAAGUAUGACAUUGGCUGUGGGUUUGUUAUAUAUGGCCUUUAUUAUGUUGAGGUACUUGCCCUCUAUACCCAUUUUGUUGAGAGUUUUUAUUAUGAAUGGAUGUUGAAUUUUGUCGAAUGCUUUUUCAGCAUCUAUGGAGAUGGUCAUGUGGGUUUUUUCCUUCUUUUUCUUGAUGUGGUGGAUGAUGUUGAUGGAUUUUUUAAUGUUGUACCAUCCUUGCAUCCCUGGGAUGAAUCCCACUUGAUCAUGGGGUAUGAUCCUCUUGACGUAUUUUUGAAUUCAGUUUGCUAAUAUUUUGUUGAGUAUUUUUGCAUCUAUGUUCAUCAGGUAUAUUGGUCUGUAGUUUUCUUUUUUUGUGGAGUCUUUGCUUGGUUUGGGUAUUAGAGUGAUGCUGGCUUCAUAGAAUGAGUUUGGAAGUAUUCCCUCCUCUUCUAUUUUUUGGAAAACUUUAAGGAGGAUGGGCAUUAUGUCUUUAAAUGUCUGAUAAAAUUCAGCGGCGAAUCCAUCUGGUCUGGGAGUUUUGUUCUUGGGUAGUUUUUUGAUUACCGAUUCAAUUUCAUUGCUGGUAAUUAGUCUGUUUAGAUUUUCUGCUUCUUCCUGGGUCAGUCUUGGAAGGUUGUAUUUUUCUAGAAAGUUGUCCAUUUCUUCUAGGUUAUCCAGUUUGUUAGCAUAUAGUUUUCAUAGUAUUCCCUUAAUUAUUCUUUGUAUUUCUGUGGUGUCCGUCAUGAUUUUUCCUUUCUCAUUUCUGAUUCUGUAUAUGUGUGUGUGUAGAUUCUCUUUUUUUAUUAAUAAGACUGGCUAGGGGUUUAUCUAUUUUGUUUAUUUUCUCAAAGAACCAGCUCUCAGUUUCAUUAAUUUUUCUAUUGUUUUAUUCUUCUCAAUUUUAGUUAUUUCUUCUCUGAUCUUUAUUUUGUCCCUCCUUCUGCUGACUUUGGGCCUCAUUUGUUCUUUUUCCAGUCUAAAUUGUGAAUUUAGACUAUUCAUUAAUCAUUUUUUUUAACUUUAAAUGUUUUUAUAAAUUUUAAAUGCUGUAUUUGAAGUGGAAAUUACUUUACUGACUUGAGCAACUGAACUGCCACCUUCUGGGUUUCAGUUUCCCCUGUCACAGACUUGGAGGUAGAUCAGUCUGUGUUUGAAAUUCCCGAAUCUUACCACGUUCAAGACAAUGGCAGAAACGUGCAGUUGCAAGAUGGAGAAUCGGAGAUAAUGCAGUUUGCCGUCCAGCAGAGCCUGCUGGAGUCCAGCAGUAGCCAGGUGGCUGAAACCAGACAUGGGAAAGGAAGCCAAACACAAGACUCAAAUUAAGAAGAAAACCUUAAAACCCGAGUUUAAUGAGGAGUUUUUCUACGAUAUCAAACACAGUGACCUGGCAAAUAAGUCCCUGGACAUCUCAGUCUGGGACUAUGACAUCGGCAAGUCCAACGAUUACAUUG